UAGUCCACGCCGUAAACGAUGGAUACUAGCUGUUCGGUUUUCGGACUGAGUGGCUAAGCGAAAGUGAUAAGUAUCCCACCUGGGGAGUACGUUCGCAAGAAUGAAACUCAAAGGAAUUGACGGGGGCCCGCACAAGCGGUGGAGCAUGUGGUUUAAUUCGAUGAUACGCGAGGAACCUUACCAGGGCUUAAAUGCAUAACGACAGGAGUGGAAACACUUUUUUCUUCGGACGGAAUGCAAGGUGCUGCAUGGUUGUCGUCAGCUCGUGCCGUGAGGUGUCAGGUUAAGUCCUAUAACGAGCGCAACCCCUGUUGUUAGUUGCCAGCGAGUAAUGUCGGGAACUCUAACAAGACUGCCGGUGCAAACCGUGAGGAAGGUGGGGAUGACGUCAAAUCAUCACGGCCCUUACGUCCUGGGCCACACACGUGCUACAAUGGCCGGUACAGAGGGCAGCCACUACGCGAGUAGGAGCGAAUCCUUAAAACCGGUCUCAGUUCGGAUCGGAGUCUGCAACUCGACUCCGU
rnacentral:rRNA from 1 species